GCCGGUCCCUCUACUGCCGCAGGCGCCGGUUGCCUCUAUCGCCGCCGUUGCUUCCCAACCACUUCAAUGCCACCCCUCUCCUUCUUUGCCGAGCCACCACCACUGCUAGCCACCGUGCGACAACUGCCACAUGCCUCCCAGCCGCCGAUCCCCCUUGCUCUGCAUCCGUAGUGACAGAAACAGGGCAUCACCGGUUGCCCUUGUUCCCAACCGUGACACUGCCGACUCCUCCUCCACUAUCACCGUUGCUUCUUG
rnacentral:lncRNA from 1 species